UGGGGAAUCUUGGACAAUGGGCGCAAGCCUGACCCAGCAACGCCGCGUGAAGGAUGAAGUAUUUCGGUAUGUAAACUUCGAAAGAAUAGGAAGAAUAAAUGACGGUACUAUUUGUAAGGUCCGGCUAACUACGUGCCAGCAGCCGCGGUAAUACGUAGGGACCAAGCGUUGUUCGGAUUUACUGGGCGUAAAGGGCGCGUAGGCGGCGUGGUAAGUCAUCUGUGAAAUCUCCGAGCUUAACUCGGAACGGUCAGAUGAUACUGCUGUGCUAGAGUACAGAAGGGGCAAUCGGAAUUCUUGGUGUAGCGGUGAAAUGCGUAGAUAUCAAGAGGAACACCUGAGGUGAAGACGGGUUGCUGGGCUGACACUGACGCUGAGGCGCGAAAGCCAGGGGAGCAAACGGGAUUAGAUACCCCCGUAGUCCCUGAGCGGGCUGGCAAGGCGCAU
rnacentral:rRNA from 1 species